AGAGUUUGAUCCUGGCUCAGAAUCAACGCUGGCGGCGUGCCUAACACAUGCAAGUCGAACGAGAAAGUGGAGCAAUCCAUGAGUAAAGUGGCGACCGGGUGAGUAACACGUGACUAACCUACCUUCGAGUGGGGGAUAACCUAGGGAAACCUGGGCUAAUACCGCAUAACAUCUUUGGAGUGGAAAUUCUGGAGAUCAAAAGAGCAAUUUGCUUGAAGAGGGGGUCGCGGCUGAUUAGCUAGUUGGCGGGGUAAUGGCCCACCAAGGCUUUGAUCGGUAGCCGGCCUGAGAGGGCGCACGGCCACACUGGAACUGAAACACGGUCCAGACUCCUACGGGAGGCAGCAGUGGGGAAUUUUGCGCAAUGGGGUAAACCCUGACGCAGCAACGCCGCGUGGAGGAUGA
rnacentral:rRNA from 1 species